ACGAUGAAGCUUCUAGCUUGCUAGAAGUGGAUUAGUGGCGCACGGGUGAGUAAGGUAUAGUUAAUCUGCCCUACACAAGAGGACAACAGUUGGAAACGACUGCUAAUACUCUAUACUCCUGCUUAACACAAGUUGAGUAGGGAAAGUUUUUCGGUGUAGGAUGAGACUAUAUAGUAUCAGCUAGUUGGUAAGGUAAUGGCUUACCAAGGCUAUGACGCUUAACUGGUCUGAGAGGAUGAUCAGUCACACUGGAACUGAGACACGGUCCAGACUCCUACGGGAGGCAGCAGUAGGGAAUAUUGCGCAAUGGGGGAAACCCUGACGCAGCAACGCCGCGUGGAGGAUGACACUUUUCGGAGCGUAAACUCCUUUUCUUAGGGAAGAAUUCUGACGGUACCUAAGGAAUAAGCACCGGCUAACUCCGUGCCAGCAGCCGCGGUAAUACGGAGGGUGCAAGCGUUACUCGGAAUCACUGGGCGUAAAGGGCGCGUAGGCGGAUUAUCAAGUCUCUUGUGAAAUCUAAUGGCUUAACCAUUAAACUGCUUGGGAAACUGAUAGUCUAGAGUGAGGGAGAGGCAGAUGGAAUUGGUGGUGUAGGGGUAAAAUCCGUAGAUAUCACCAAGAAUACCCAUUGCGAAGGCGAUCUGCUGGAACUCAACUGACGCUAAGGCGCGAAAGCGUGGGGAGCAAACAGGAUUAGAUACCCUGGUAGUCCACGCCCUAAACGAUGUACACUAGUUGUUGGGGUGCUAGUCAUCUCAGUAAUGCAGCUAACGCAUUAAGUGUACCGCCUGGGGAGUACGGUCGCAAGAUUAAAACUCAAAGGAAUAGACGGGGACCCGCACAAGCGGUGGAGCAUGUGGUUUAAUUCGAAGAUACGCGAAGAACCUUACCUGGGCUUGAUAUCCUAAGAACCUUUUAGAGAUAAGAGGGUGCUAGCUUGCUAGAACUUAGAGACAGGUGCUGCACGGCUGUCGUCAGCUCGUGUCGUGAGAUGUUGGGUUAAGUCCCGCAACGAGCGCAACCCACGUAUUUAGUUGCUAACGGUUCGGCCGAGCACUCUAAAUAGACUGCCUUCGUAAGGAGGAGGAAGGUGUGGACGACGUCAAGUCAUCAUGGCCCUUAUGCCCAGGGCGACACACGUGCUACAAUGGCAUAUACAAUGAGACGCAAUACCGCGAGGUGGAGCAAAUCUAUAAAAUAUGUCCCAGUUCGGAUUGUUCUCUGCAACUCGAGAGCAUGAAGCCGGAAUCGCUAGUAAUCGUAGAUCAGCCAUGCUACGGUGAAUACGUUCCCGGGUCUUGUACUCACCGCCCGUCACACCAUGGGAGUUGAUUUCACUCGAAGCCGGAAUACU
rnacentral:rRNA from 1 species